rnacentral:rRNA from 1 species
CCUACGGGUGGCUGCAGUGGGGAAUAUUGCACAAUGGGCGCAAGCCUGAUGCAGCCAUGCCGCGUGUGUGAAGAAGGCCUUCGGGUUGUAAAGCACUUUCAGCGGGGAGGAAGGCGGUGAGGUUAAUAACCUCAUCGAUUGACGUUACCCGCAGAAGAAGCACCGGCUAACUCCGUGCCAGCAGCCGCGGUAAUACGGAGGGUGCAAGCGUUAAUCGGAAUUACUGGGCGUAAAGCGCACGCAGGCGGUCUGUCAAGUCGGAUGUGAAAUCCCCGGGCUCAACCUGGGAACUGCAUUCGAAACUGGCAGGCUAGAGUCUUGUAGAGGGGGUAGAAUUCCAGGUGUAGCGGUGAAAUGCGUAGAGAUCUGGAGGAAUACCGGUGGCGAAGGCGGCCCCCUGGACAAAGACUGACGCUCAGGUGCGAAAGCGUGGGGAGCAAACAGGAUUAGAUACCCCUGUAGUC